rnacentral:lncRNA from 1 species
CCGAAAUGCUGACUACUGGGCUGGUGAUACCUUCGGGGACAAAACAUUCACCAGCAGUGGCAUCGACCCAGUGGUGUAAAUAGUUAUCAAUAGAUUAAUUUCCAAUAAAUGCAGGGUGUUGAUUUGCUACCCUAACAAUCCAAAAGUUUCAUAAAUAAUGACAAUGCUAUAAUAUAUAUGCCGUGAAUAUAUAUGUAAACCUCAGAUCUGUGUACGACUUCAAAUCUGUGUCCGUUUUUCAAAUCUAUGCCCCAUCGUGACGUCAAUCGCUAAUCUAUGUCCGUAAAAAAUGAUUCUACCUCAAAUCUGUGUCCGAUUUUUAAUCGCAACGUCAUUCGCAAAUCUGUGUCCGUAAUAAGAAAGAUAAGGUCUCAAAUCAGUGUUAUGUUUUAAAUUUUUUUGCAAUUUGUUUCGCCAUGCGCAAAUUUAUGCCCGUCUAAUAAGUUCGGCUUUAUAGGUUUUUUUAUUUUAUUAAGUAAUUUCUCAUAAUUCAAUAUUAAGUUGGUAUGUGUUAUCCAUGUAUGUGCAAGAGCCGAAGUAUAGUAUACGUUUAAGAAAAUCCAGCUAAAUUAUUUAGCUGGUAUUUAUGAUAUUGUUUCAAGAACAGUCGUAUAUGCUUUUGUUUUAUUAAGUCUUUCUUCAUGUAUGUGGUUAAAAUCUUUACAUAUGAUGCGUGUGUUAUUAUUGUAUAUAAAAAAGAAGAUGUGGUAUGUAUUCCGUCUUUAAGAAUGAAACCACAAAACCAUAUUAAUUUUACUCAAAAAGACAGUAAAGAAUGAAUAUUUGUUUGCAACAUCAACUUACUUCGUUUUGUCUUUGAAUUUGUUCAUAUCGCUGUUUCAUUGACAUUUAUACCACUUUAUCUAUGUUUUUUCUUGAAUACUAGUAUCAAAAAAUCAUUUUAAAUUGCUAAAAAUAAAACGUUUUUUAUAUUUUUAAUUGAAAUAUUUGUGGAUCACAAAAGAACAUAUUUCAAUUGUUUGGUCUUAGCUGAUAUCUAUUUAGUUUAAAUGUAAAACUUGUAAUAAUGUCUUUAAUAACGAAAAUAUUUCCCCGAGAAGAAUCAUUCUUUAUGUUUUGACAUAUCCCUUCUCUCCAGUCCCUUUGUUCAUGGCUGGAUUUGUUUUGAAUUGUAAAUAUUCCACAAUAGUAGGAGUAAAGAUAUCCUGAUAAUUGUCAGAAAACAUUUCAAGAGGAUAAAUCUCUAUAGUUGACGUUUUUGAAAAUAUUCCAUCAGUCCACUAUUCAUAACAGAUUUUCCUCCAGUUUUAAAGACAUUUUUUUGAAAAUUUCCCAUCAGUCCACUAUUCAUAACAGAUUUUCCUCCAGUUUUAAAGACAAAUCAUAAAGCAAUUUUAAAUCAUGUGUAGUAAUAGUUAAAAUGUUAACGUUGCUUUUGUCAUAUAAACCACUUGUACUAUGUGUGUUCGGUGUGAGUUAAUGCUCCGUGUUGAAGGCCGUACUUACACCUGUUAUUGUUAACUUUUCAUUGUUUACUUGAUGACGUUUUGUUAUAUUUUACGUCGAUGAAAGGACAUAGAUUUGAGCCAAAAAUGGUCAUAGAUUUGAGACAAUAAAGGACAUAGAUGUGAGACUAUGUACAGGACAUAGAUUUGAGACAAUAAAGGACAUAGAUUUGGAACGUCUAUGACGCAAUAUUAAAAAGGACAUAGUUUUGCGGAAAGGACAUAGAUUUGAGGCCGGACAUAGAUUUGAGGCUUACAUAUAUGCGCUAUGAAAUUAGUUCUUUCAAACUAUCCAAACAAAUUUCAACCUUGCAUACCACUAUUCCUCAUGUGAAUUUGAAAAAUCGUCUAUAAGAAAUAAUCCACAAUUUUUUUCAACAUAAAACUUGUACCGAACGGGUAUUUUGUUAAUAGUGAAAAAACAAUGUGAAAAAUUCUGCACAAAGGAAGAAGUGAUUAGUUUUCUGGAGUUUCUAACUGACAACUUAUGUGUUGAUUUCGGAAUUAAAAUGUCGGUAUUCCUAUGGGAACUUUCCUGGUCGACCUCUUUUUAUAUCAUAUAAGUCAACGUUUUUUCAGACACUUGUAAAAAAAAAAACAAGAAUACCAAAGACUGCAGAUAUUUUAAUUUAACAUUCAGAUAUAUUAAUAAUGUUCUUUCAAUUAACAAUUCAAACUUUUCCGAUUGGGUUUCAUUAUACUCCAGAACUAGAAAUAAAAGACACAAAAGAAACCGCUUCCUCAUUUCAAGACUUAUAUCUAUAAUUUGACCUGAGCGAUUAUUUCAGUACCAACUAGACUAUUUUAAUUUCAAAAUUAUCAUUAUACCCUCACCUAAUAUACCAACUUACCCUGCAUGUGAAAUAUACAUUUUUCAACUCAUUCGGUAUUCAAGAACAUUUGUUAUGAUGAUACUAACACAUUGUUUAUAAUAUUCCGUAUCAACUACACAAAUAACAAAUGAUGGUCUUGAAGUUUAGAUUCUAUAUACUGGAGUUCCUUAUCAUCAUAAAAGCGUGUUAUAUAGAUUAUACCGUUGGUUUCACCGUUUGAAUGGCUUUACAUUAGUAAUUUUUUAUUCCCUUUAUAGCCUUUUCUCUUCGGUGUGAGCCAAGGCUCCGUGUCUUAUGCCGUACCUUGAUCUAUAAUGGUUUACGUAUAUAAAUUGCUACUUGGAUGGACAGUUGUCUCAUUGGAACUCAUACCACAUCUUCCUAUAUCUAUAUAGUAUUUUUUUACUUGUCUUUGUAAAUUAUUACUUUUACUGUUUUUUAACUAGUAGUCAGUAUGUCAGUGUUGACAUGCAUAUCAAUUAUAUGGUCAUUUUUUAAUUUUUCAAUUAACUGUUUGCAAAUGUAUGAAUUAUUCGAAAUACUAAGUAUUUUCUUAUCCCAGACAUAGAUUACCUUUACAAUAUUUGGCACAACUUUUUGGAAUUUUGUGUCCCCAAUGCUCUUCAACUCUACUUUUUUGGCUUUCAAACUUGUUUGAUUUGAGCGUCACUGACGAGUCUUAUGUAAAGCAACCAAGUAUCAAUCAAUCGACGGUAACUUUAAUUUUAUUUUGGUGAGUCAAAUGAUUUCAGUCUUUUUUGGCAGUCAAUGUCUCACCUUGAUUAAUAAACAUCAAUGCCAACAGGAAGUGGACAGUUAAUUUAAAAAUAUGAAUCGCAAAAUAGGUGUAGGUGACCAUUCUCCUGAUAGGUUACACACUGGCAAAAAGAUCAUGUCAAUGAAAAACUCAGAUUUUUGUAACGUUAUCACGGAAUAUUUCUAGUGCACAUUAAACUAAUAUAUUUAAAUUUUUUUUUUUAAACCUGCUCGUUAUAGGUUUAAUUAUCAGUAUCCAGUUACAGCAGGUCCUGAUUAAAACAAACAUUAUUCACAGAAUUAUAUAAAUGACUUCCUCUUAAAUACUUUUGUACAAAUUUAGGGAUGUUAUGGUUAAGACCCACUAUUUCUUUUAACUUUAUACGUUAAGCUUCUGUUAAAAUGUAAGAAUAAUAAUAAUUGGAUGAACUACAAGUAUAAAGUCUUGUUUAUAUUAACCAAUGUAGAAAAACAAUACAUAAAAUUCGGGAUGUCAAGUGUCUGUUAAAAACUUUGUCCAACAAAUGUAACAAGUUCGUUGUUAAAUGAAUAAAGCA